rnacentral:rRNA from 1 species
GACGAACGCUGGCGGCGUGCUUAACACAUGCAAGUCGAACGGAAAGGCCCUGCUCGCAGGGUACUCGCGUGGCGAACGAAUGAGUAACACAUGGGUGAUCUGCCCUGCACUUAGGGCUAGAUCUGGGUAACUGGCUCUAAUUCCGGCCAGGUGCCAUCUUUAGUGUGAUGGUUGGGAAGGUUUUACUGUUUAGUUUGUGCACGCGGUCUAUCAGGCUUGUGGUCGGGUUGUGGCCUACCUAGGCUGCCACGGGUAGGCGGCCUGAGAGGGUGGAGGGGCGCAUUGGGACUGAGAUACGGGCCAGACAGCAGCGGGGGGCAGUAGUGAGGAAUAUUGCACAAGGGGCGGCAGCCUGAUGCAGCGACGCCCCGUGGGGGAGGACGGCCUUCGGGUUGUAAGCUCCUUUCGCAAGGGACGUAGCUGUUUGGGACGGUACCUAGAUAAGAAGCACCGGCUAACUACGUG